rnacentral:tRNA from 1 species
GCCCCGGUAGCACAGUUGGAAAGCGCAGUCCCCUCCUAAGGGACAGGUCACAGGUUCAAGUCCUGUCCGGGGCAUCA